rnacentral:lncRNA from 1 species
CCGAGCAGUAUGCUCUGCUGAAAGAAAAGGGAAGCACUGAUCAUCCUGGGGUGGUGUGGGAUUCAUUGUUCCUCAAGCAGGUGAUCCUUUCACUGUCCCCUUGAUGGGACAUGUUUCCGGUGUUAACGGAGAAAAUAUAGAGUGCCGAUGAUGCCUGGAGUAAUAGAAGCAGGCUUAGGAGGAGAACAAAGGGAGGGGGGGUGGAGCAGGGGUGGGGUGGGAUGGUGCACUGGAUUGAUCAGGGACUCCAUGCUAUUCCAUUUGAAGUCAACAAAACUUGUCUUCAGACUCAGGUUUACCAUAGACAGCAUCAUCUUCUGCAUUCAGUGGACUCAUCCCAAAGUUGACAGUGUAUGUCAAGCAAAGCUCAGUUUCCAAAGUGGUAGUCCCAAACCAGGCUCCGGGAUAUACACCUCGAGAUAGGCAUGACUCUACCACGUUGACACUUGUUGUUUUGGGGUUGAGAGUCCAGCUCACCCGCAACCCCAUACACAACCUGCACAGCCUGAUGACAGUGGGGAUACUCAGUUUCCCACAGAGACUGUAGACCCUAUAAGGAAAGAACCUUGGGAACUGGUAUAUCUCAAUUUAAGGCAGAUUGUGCAGUCUUUCAACAAGGGGUUAGAGGGGGUCAUUUGAGUAAUACAAAGUUUGUAAGGGGGUUACUUUACUUUAUUACAAAUAAUAAAAUACAUUUUAAAUUAAUGAAAUGACUCAGGCUUAUCUGAUUGUGUCACAAGUGUUAACACAUUGAAAUCUCCACAAUAUCCAGAAUGACUCCCCCCAACCCCAACUCCACCCCAUCCUUCAAAAGUAGGACAUAGCGUGAUAUUUUGUUGAUAAUAUCAAGGCAUGCCUUAAGCUACUAUUUUACAGGUUUUUUUUCCCCCUGUGGAAGUCCUCAGAAAACAAGAGUGCCUGGGCCCUGUUACCCCAGAAGUACUGUCUCACCAUUUCAUGAAUAAGCAAACACAUUUUCAUGGUGACCAUUGAGCAUGGACUGUCUCUGUGGAAAGAACCCUGAAAGAUAAAUGUGUCUGCAGACCCUGUGCCAACAACAUGGCCUUCCAGGGAGGAUACCCUAAGAUGGCAGCUGCUCUCUCACUCAGUAUUAGUUGAGGGAAACCAACAUACUUCAGACCAAACAGGCUGUCUGGGGUAAGAAAUU